CCUGACUUGGACAGGAUCAGAGGGGGCCUGGAAGAAGGGGAGUACUCAGGCAGGCCUGAAGGGCAAGAGUAUGCCCAGGCUGAGCCCUGGUCUGCCCACCUGUGUGCCACAUCUCCUGGGGCUCCCCAGAACCUGGCUAGAGCCACAAAGUCCCAGGGAUAAUCUCCCUGACCCUAGUGCCUAGCUCUGUGCCUCGACAUCUGGACCUGCUUGCGUCACCUUUGGGUCCAGUUAACAGUCUGCCUCUUCCAGGAAGCAAAAGUAACAGCUGAUGCCUAUACGGUACUGACCACGUGCCUGGCCUCGCUCUGCAUGCUCUCAUGUUGAUCCACCCAAAUGGUCUUCAGAAGAACCCAGUGCGGCCUGGGUUUGUCCCGUAUCCAGGAAACUUUAUAUGUUGUCUAAACUGAGCAUCCCAGCAGGCUACGAGGCAGAUGGCAGCUCAGGAUUCAGAAUGUUGACCAAUUCCUACCUGGAUCCACACCACCAAGCUGUAACUCAGCCUGCCUCUGCAGAAAUAGGAGCCCAGCCACGUGGCUAACAGCUUUUUUAACUGCUGCUCUCAGCAAUGAGGAACUUCCCCAGCAGACAAGAUUCAGUAAGACGGCCUUCAUCGAGAGAAAUGAAAAGGAAGCAAUAUCAAGAUUGAUCCAACAGGAUAUACAGGUUCAACCAAACACUCAAGACAAUACGCAAGCCCCCAAAGCUCAAUUAAGCCAGGAGGAGAUGAGGACCAGGUGCUGCUACCUUGCCCUCUAGUCCUUGGGACCUCAGGUCACAAACCCAGGACAUCAUGCAGGUCUGCCUCCAUGUCACUAGAUUGUCAUAAGAGGCUUCAUACUUGUCAGGAAGGAAGCCAGGACAUGCCUGAGGUGGCACCUGAACUACAUCUUUAAAAUGCACAACAUGUAUGAAAAAACCAAGGUACAGAGUGUAAAGUAUGAUGCUAUUUGUGUAAAAAAAUAAGAGAAGGAGGGUAGGUAGGAGUAUGUAUAGGAAGAAACAGUCUCUGCAAGGGAACUUAAGAAACUGGCAGCACUAUCUCUGGGGAGGGGAGCUGAGCAGUUGGGAAGAAAAGGCAGGAGGAAGACUCUACGUUUGUAUCUUUUCAAUUCAGAACUAUGUGAAUGUAUAACCUUUUAAAGAACAAAUUAAAAUUUUUAAAAAUGC
rnacentral:lncRNA from 1 species